rnacentral:rRNA from 1 species
GGGUGCGAUCAUACUAGCGUUAAUGCACCGGUUCGCAUCAGAACUCUGCAGUUAAGCGCGCUUGGGCUAGAGUAGAACUGGGAUGGGUGACCUCCCAGGAAGUCCUAGUGUUGCACCCU